rnacentral:rRNA from 1 species
ACGGAGAGUUUGAUCCUGGCUCAGGAUGAACGCUGGCGGCGUGCUUAACACAUGCAAGUCGAACGGGCAUUUUGGGAAACUGGAAUGCUAGUGGCAAACGGGUGAGUAACACGUGGGUGACCUACCUCAGAGUGGGGAAUAACGGACCGAAAGGUUCGCUAAUACCGCAUACGCUCGAUGAUUCAGUUUGUCGAGUAAAGGCGCAAGUUGCUUUGAGAGGGGCCCGCGUCCCAUCAGGUAGUUGGUGAGGUAAAAGCCCACCAAGCCGAUGACGGGUAGCUGUUCUGAGAGGAAGACCAGCCACAAUGGAACUGAGACACGGUCCAUACUCCUACGGGAGGCAGCAGUGAGGAAUAUUGCACAAUGGACGAAAGUCUGAUGCAGCGACGCCGCGUGGGCGACGAAGGCCUUCGGGUCGUAAAGCCCUUUUGGCAGGGACGAGUGAGGACGGUACCUGCAGAAUAAGUCUCGGCUAACUACGUGCCAGCAGCCGCGGUAAAACGUAGGAGGCGAGCGUUAUCCGGAUUCACUGGGCGUAAAGCGCGCGUAGGCGGUCGAGUAAGUCGGAUGUUAAAGCCCCUGGCU